UCUCAUUGUUGUGGCAGUUAGAAGGAAUAUAGAUAGAUAGAUAUAGAUGGAGAGCACAGUUGGACAUGAAGGGAUACUAUCUAAAAAAUAAAAUUAAGGAGUAAAAGAGGACUGUAUUAAUAGUAAGGAAAAGGAAGAAAUGGAAUGGUGUAAAUUAUCUGCCAUAACAAAAGGAUAUCCGAUGAUCUACUCUCCAAGGAAGAGAAUAUUAUAGUUAUAACAAAUGGAAUAUGAGACAGGGGUGAAGGCAGAAAUAGUAGCAAAAAGCAUCUGAGUGAUGUGAGAUAAAAAGUAAGAGGUGGCUUACAUCUAAAUGAAACCUGAACUGAAUCCUUCUGCAAAAUCCCAGAUGGUUUUGCAUUACAAAAGGCACCCCUUGUUGCUUUGUUAUUUGAAAAUUAUUACUGAAAGAAUUGGCAUUCAUCAUAAAGACAUGAAUACUUGAGAAAAGGACGUUUCAAUUAAAGAAAAAAGAAACAUUCCACUCUCAGUGAAAACCUAAAAAGUUGAAUUUAAGGGGUUCAAUAAAUUGAUCA